rnacentral:rRNA from 1 species
GCAACUCGCCUACAUGAAGUCGGAAUCGCUAGUAAUCGCGGAUCAGCACGCCGCGGUGAAUACGUUCCCGGGCCUUGUACACACCGCCCGUCACACCAUGGAAGUCUGCAAUGCCCGAAGCCGGUGGCCUAACCACUUAUGUGGAAGGAGCCGUCUAAGGCAGGUCGGAUGACUGGGGUGAAGUCGUAACAAGGUACC